AGUGAACGCUGGCGGUAGGCCUAACACAUGCAAGUCGAACGGCAGCACAGUAAGAGCUUGCUCUUACGGUUGGGAAUGGGGGGCGGGGGAAGGAUAAAUCCGAAUUGAGUUUUUUCGGGGGGAGAAGGGAAUGAAACUUGCCCUAAAGACCCCAUACACCUUACGGGUGAAUGCAGGGAUCCUUCGGACUUUACGGCGUUAAAUGGCCCGAUGUCGGAUUAGCUAGUUGGCGGGGUAAAGGCCCACCAAGGCGACGAUCCUUAGCUGGUCUGAGAGGAUGAUCAGCCACACUGGAACUGAGACACGGUCCAGACUCCUACGGGAGGCAGCAGUGGGGAAUAUUGGACAAUGGGCGCAAGCCUGAUCCAGCAAUACCGCGUGGGUGAAGAAGGCCUUCGGGUUGUAAAGCCCUUUUGUUGGGAAAGAAAAGCAGCAGGUUAAUACCCCGCUGUUCUGACGGUACCCAAAGAAUAAGCACCGGCUAACUUCGUG
rnacentral:rRNA from 1 species